GUUACAGUGGCCGAGUGGUUAAGGCGACACCCUGCUAUCAGGUGUUGGGCAUUGCCUGCGCAGGUUCGAAUCCUGUCUGUGACG